rnacentral:rRNA from 1 species
UACGGAGGGUGCAAGCGUUGUCCGGAUUUAUUGGGUUUAAAGGGUGCGUAGGCGGCUUCAUAAGUCCGCGGUGAAAGCCAACAGCUCAACUGUUGAACUGCCAUGGAUACUGUGAGGCUUGAGUACAGACGAGGUAGGCGGAAUGGAUCGUGUAGCGGUGAAAUGCAUAGAUACGAUCCAGAACACCGAUUGCGUAGGCAGCUUACUAGGCUGUAACUGACGCUGAGGCACGAAAGCGUGGGGAGCGAACAGG